rnacentral:rRNA from 1 species
ACGCUGGCGGCGUGCUUAACACAUGCAAGUCGAACGAUGAAGCCUAGCUUGCUAGGUGGAUUAGUGGCGAACGGGUGAGUAAUACGUGAGUAACCUACCUUUAACUCUGGGAUAAGCCUGGGAAACUGGGUCUAAUACCGGAUACGACCAAUCUCCGCAUGGGGUGUUGGUGGAAAGCGUUAUGUAGUGGUUAUAGAUGGGCUCGCGGCCUAUCAGCUUGUUGGUGAGGUAACGGCUCACCAAGGCGACGACGGGUAGCCGGCCUGAGAGGGUGACCGGCCACACUGGGACUGAGACACGGCCCAGACUCCUACGGGAGGCAGCAGUGGGGAAUAUUGCACAAUGGGCGCAAGCCUGAUGCAGCGACGCCGCGUGAGGGAUGACGGCCUUCGGGUUGUAAACCUCUGUUAGCAGGGAAGAAGAGAGAUUGACGGUACCUGCAGAGAAAGCGCCGGCUAACUACGUGCCAGCAGCCGCGGUAAUACGUAGGGCGCGAGCGUUGUCCGGAAUUAUUGGGCGUAAAGAGCUUGUAGGCGGUUUGUCGCGUCUGCUGUGAAAGGCCGGAGCUUAACUCCGUGUAUUGCAGUGGGUACGGGCAGACUAGAGUUCAGUAGGGGAGACUGGAAUUCCUGGUGUAACGGUGGAAUGCGCAGAUAUCAGGAGGAACACCGAUGGCGAAGGCAGGUCUCUGGGCUGUAACUGACGCUGAGAAGCGAAAGCAUGGGGAGCGAACAGGAUUAGAUACCCUGGUAGUCCAUGCCGUAAACGUUGGGCACUAGGUGUGGGGGACAUUCCACGUUUUCCGCGCCGUAGCUAACGCAUUAAGUGCCCCGCCUGGGGAGUACGGCCGCAAGGCUAAAACUCAAAGAAAUUGACGGGGGCCCGCACAAGCGGCGGAGC